UACAGAGGGUGCAAGCGUUGUUCGGAAUCAUUGGGCGUAAAGGGCGCGUAGGCGGUUAUAAAAAGUCGAAUGUGAAAGCCCAGGGCUCAACCUUGGAAGUGCAUCCGAAACUGCAUAACUAGAAUCUCGGAGAGGGUGGUGGAAUUCCCAGUGUAGAGGUGAAAUUCGUAGAUAUUGGGAGGAACACCGGUGGCGAAGGCGACCGCCUGGACGAAGAUUGACGCUGAGGCGCGAGAGCGUGGGGAGCAAACAGG
rnacentral:rRNA from 1 species